UACGUAGGGUGCAAGCGUUGUCCGGAAUUAUUGGGCGUAAAGAGCUCGUAGGCGGUUUGUCGCGUCGAAUGUGAAAACCCGGGGCUCAACUCCGGGCCUGCAUUCGAUACGGGCAGACUAGAGUUCGGUAGGGGAGACUGGAAUUCCUGGUGUAGCGGUGAAAUGCGCAGAUAUCAGGAGGAACACCGAUGGCGAAGGCAGGUCUCUGGGCCGAUACUGACGCUGAGGAGCGAAAGCGUGGGGAGCGAACAGG
rnacentral:rRNA from 1 species